rnacentral:pre_miRNA from 1 species
AUCAUCUGGGAAUCUUAUUAAAAUGCAGAUUUUAAGUGAGUGGGUGUGGAGCUGGGGCUGAGAGUCUGCAUUUCUAAUAAGCUUUCAGGUGAUGCUGA